UGGUCUAUAACGUGGGGAUGCACGUUUCGUGCAGUGGGGGUGAGACACCCGGAUACAUUGCGUACUACGCUGACAACUUCAACGGUUUCGGCCUCGAGGAAGAUGUCCCAGUUCAUGGGCUUCCACAACGUCGGAAGAGAAUGCUUUACGAGACAUUAGCAUGCCAAGGCAACACUGCUCCUCGCCCUGGCAUAAUGGAGAUAGUUGAGGAAGAGCAAGAAUAGAUUUGCACCGAAUGAUUGCGUCA